GUAGGUUACUCUGACGUUACUGUUCUAUUCUGCUUUUCCCUGGUAGCAUUGAGUUGUGUUCUGUUGCCAUUAUUUGGUUUGCUAUUGCCUUGACUAUAACAUGCCUCGUUUUCUUGAUCUUCCUUAGCUGCCAAUCAUUAUUGUCUUUGUUCAGUAUUGCUGUCCUUAUCCGGAACCACCGAUGUCAUUGUUGCUGCUUCCCCAGAAGAACUGAUGUUACUGCUACUGUUCCGGCCGUACUAGCUAUUGUAAACUGGAAAAAGAAGGGGAUCGCCACAUUUAAAUUCGACGGUUUCGACUAACUGAGCGACAGGUUUGAAGACGCAAUUUGAAGCUGCAAGCGAUCAGUAGGCUUUCUUUAUGGUUUUAAUUGCUUUCAUAGAGUCCCCUCACUAUUGUCCUUUGAGAAUUCAUUUUACAUAGAGGGGUAGGUUUAGUAUAUUGUAUUUGAGUUUUAUUUGGUCUCUUUUGUAUAAGAAUUAUUAUCAAUAAUAUCUAUGUGAUUAUUAUUAUUUGUGAA